rnacentral:rRNA from 1 species
GACGAACGCUGGCGGCGUGCUUAACACAUGCAAGUCGAACGGAAAGGCCCUGCUUUUGUGGGGUGCUCGAGUGGCGAACGGGUGAGUAACACGUGAGUAACCUGCCCUUGACUUUGGGAUAACUUCAGGAAACUGGGGCUAAUACCGGAUAGGAGCUCCUGCUGCAUGGUGGGGGUUGGAAAGUUUCGGCGGUUGGAGAUGGACUCGCGGCUUAUCAGCUUGUUGGUGGGGUAGUGGCUUACCAAGGCUUUGACGGGUAGCCGGCCUGAGAGGGUGACCGGCCACAUUGGGACUGAGAUACGGCCCAGACUCCUACGGGAGGCAGCAGUGGGGAAUAUUGCACAAUGGGCGGAAGCCUGAUGCAGCAACGCCGCGUGCGGGAUGACGGCCUUCGGGUUGUAAACCGCUUUCGCCUGUGACGAAGCGUGAGUGACGGUAAUGGGUAAAGAAGCACCGGCUAACUACGUG